GUGGGUACUAGGUGUGGGGGACAUUCCACGUUCUCCGUGCCGUAGCUAACGCAUUAAGUACCCCGCCUGGGGAGUACGGCCGCAAGGCUAAAACUCAAAGGAAUUGACGGGGCCCCGCACAAGCGGCGGAGCAUGCGGAUUAAUUCGAUGCAACGCGAAGAACCUUACCUGGGUUUGACAUAUGCCGGGAGCGUUCAGAGAUGGGCGUGCCUUUUUGGUCGGUUUACAGGUGGUGCAUGGCUGUCGUCAG
rnacentral:rRNA from 1 species